rnacentral:rRNA from 1 species
UUAUUUGAGAGUUUGAUCCUGGCUCAGGAUGAACGCUGGCGGCGUGCCUAAUACAUGCAAGUCGAACGAGGGUGUAGCAAUACACUCGAGUGGCGAACGGGUGAGUAAUACGUAGGUAACCUGCCUUUUAGUUGGGGAUACCCUGGAGAAAUCUGGGUUAAUACCGAAUACGAACCUUGGGGGCAUCCCCGAGGCUUGAAAGGGGCUUCGGCCUCGCUAAUAGAUGGGCCUACGGCGCAUUAGCUAGUUGGUGAGAUAAUAGCCCACCAAGGCGAGGAUGCGUAGCCGACCUGAGAGGGUGAUCGGCCACACUGGAACUGAGACACGGUCCAGACUCCUACGGGAGGCAGCAGUAAGGAGUUUUCGGCAAUGGGGGAAACCCUGACCGAGCAACGCCGCGUGAGGGAUGAAGGGGAUAAAACUCUGUAAACCUCUGUGGUAAGAGACGAAUGUCGUUAGUAGGUAAUGACUAGCGAAGGGACGGUAUCUUACUAGAAAGCCACGGCUAACUACGUGCCAGCAGCCGCGGUAAGACGUAGGUGGCAAGCGUUAUCCGGAAUUAUUGGGCGUAAAGAGUGAGCAGGCGGCAUAUUAAGUUUGAAGUCAAAUCGAGGGGCUUAACCCCUUCUCGCUUCAAAAACUGAUAAGCUAGAGUACGAGAGAGGUAAACGGAAUUCCAUGUGGAGCGGUAAAAUGCAUAGAUAUAUGGAGGAACACCGGUGGCGAAGGCGGUUUACUAGCUCGAUACUGACGCUCAGUCACGAAAGUGUGGGGAGCAAAUAGGAUUAGAUACCCUAGUAGUCCACACCGUAAACGAUGAUAACUAUGUGUUGUGAAAGCAGCGCAGAAGCUAACGCAUUAAGUUAUCCGCCUGGGGAGUACGCUCGCAAGAGUGAAACUUAAAGGAAUUGACGGGAGCCCGCACAAGCAGUGGAGCAUGUGGUUUAAUUCGACGCUACGCGAAGAACCUUACCAGGGCUUGACAUACUUAGGCGAAGCUGCAGAGAUGCAGUGGAGGCUAUCCUAGGAACAGAUGGUGCAUGGUUGUCGUCAGCUCGUGUCGUGAGAUGUUAGGUUAAGUCCUGCAACGAGCGCAACCCUUGUCGUUAGUUACCAGCAUUAAGUUGGGGACUCUAGCGAGACUGCCUCCGUAAGGGGGAGGAAGGUGGGGAUGACGUCAAAUCAUCAUGCCUCUUACGUCCUGGGCGACACACGUGCUACAAUGGCCGAUACAAAAGGCGAACCCGCGAGGGGGAGGAAAUCCUUAAAGUCGGUCUCAGUUCGGAUUGGAGUCUGCAACUCGACUCCAUGAAGCUGGAAUUGCUAGUAAUCGCGAAUCAGCCAUGUCGCGGUGAAUACGUUCCCGGGCUUUGUACACACUGCCCGUCAAACCAUGAGAGCUGGUAAUACUCGAAGCCGUUAUCUUAACCGUAAGGAGGGAGACGUCUAAGGUAGGACUAGUGAUUGGGGUUAAGUCGUAACAAGGUAUCCCUACGGGAACGUGGGGAUGGAUCACCUCCUUU